GGCGAACUGGUGAGUAACACGUGGGAAACCUGCCCAGAAGCGGGGGAUAACACCUGGAAACAGAUGCUAAUACCGCAUAACAACUUGGACCGCAUGGUCCGAGCUUGAAAGAUGGCUUCGGCUAUCACUUUUGGAUGGUCCCGCGGCGUAUUAGCUAGAUGGUGGGGUAACGGCUCACCAUGGCAAUGAUACGUAGCCGACCUGAGAGGGUAAUCGGCCACAUUGGGACUGAGACACGGCCCAAACUCCUACGGGAGGCAGCAGUAGGGAAUCUUCCACAAUGGACGAAAGUCUGAUGGAGCAACGCCGCGUGAGUGAAGAAGGGUUUCGGCUCGUAAAACUCUGUUGUUAAAGAAGAACAUAUCUGAGAGUAACUGUUCAGGUAUUGACGGUAUUUAACCAGAAAGCCACGGCUAACUACGUGCCAGCAGCCGCGGUAAUACGUAGGUGGCAAGCGUUGUCCGGAUUUAUUGGGCGUAAAGCGAGCGCAGGCGGUUUUUUAAGUCUGAUGUGAAAGCCUUCGGCUCAACCGAAGAAGUGCAUCGGAAACUGGGAAACUUGAGUGCAGAAGAGGACAGUGGAACUCCAUGUGUAGCGGUGAAAUGCGUAGAUAUAUGGAAGAACACCAGUGGCGAAGGCGGCUGUCUGGUCUGUAACUGACGCUGAGGCUCGAAAGUAUGGGUAGCAAACAGGAUUAGAUACCCUGGUAGUCCAUACCGUAAACGAUGAAUGCUAAGUGUUGGAGGGUUUCCGCCCUUCAGUGCUGCAGCUAACGCAUUAAGCAUU
rnacentral:rRNA from 1 species